UACGGAGGGGGCUAGCGUUGUUCGGAAUUACUGGGCGUAAAGCGCACGUAGGCGGCUUUGCAAGUUAGAGGUGAAAGCCCGGGGCUCAACUCCGGAAUUGCCUUUAAAACUGCAUCGCUAGAAUUGUGGAGAGGUAAGUGGAAUUCCGAGUGUAGAGUUGAAAUUCGUAGAUAUUCGGAAGAACACCAGUGGCGAAGGCGACUUACUGGACACAUAUUGACGCUGAGGUGCGAAAGCGUGGGGAGCAAACAGG
rnacentral:rRNA from 1 species